rnacentral:rRNA from 1 species
GCAGUCGAACGGUACGCGGGGCAACCUGGCGACGAGUGGCGAACGGGUGAGUAAUAUAUCGGAACGUGCCCAAUCGUGGGGGAUAACGCAGCGAAAGCUGUGCUAAUACCGCAUACGACCUACGGAUGAAAGCGGGGGACUCGCAAGAGCCUCGCGCGAAUGGAGCGGCCGAUAUCAGAUUAGCUAGUUGGCGGGGUAAAAGCCCACCAAGGCGACGAUCUGUAGCUGGUCUGAGAGGACGACCAGCCACACUGGAACUGAGACACGGUCCAGACUCCUACGGGAGGCAGCAGUGGGGAAUUUUGGACAAUGGGCGCAAGCCUGAUCCAGCAAUGCCGCGUGCAGGAUGAAGGCCUUCGGGUUGUAAACUGCUUUUGUACGGAACGAAACGGUCUCUUCUAAUAAAGGGGGCUAAUGACGGUACCGUAAGAAUAAGCACCGGCUAACUACGUGCCAGCAGCCGCGGUAAUACGUAGGGUGCGAGCGUUAAUCGGAAUUACUGGGCGUAAAGCGUGCGCAGGCGGUGAUGUAAGACAGAUGUGAAAUCCCCGGGCUCAACCUGGGACCUGCAUUUGUGACUGCAUCGCUAGAGCACGGUAGAGGGGGAUGGAAUUCCGCGUGUAGCAGUGAAAUGCGUAGAUAUGCGGAGGAACACCGAUGGCGAAGGCAAUCCCCUGGACCUGUACUGACGCUCAUGCACGAAAGCGUGGGGAGCAAACAGGAUUAGAUACCCUGGUAGAAUCACUAGUGAAUUC